rnacentral:rRNA from 1 species
UGAGGAAUAUUGGACAAUGGGCGGAAGCCUGAUCCAGCCAUGCCGCGUGCAGGAAGACUGCCCUAUGGGUUGUAAACUGCUUUUGUACGGGAAGAAACCCUCCCACGCGUGGGGGGCUGACGGUACCGUAAGAAUAAGCAUCGGCUAACUCCGUGCCAGCAGCCGCGGUAAUACGGAGGAUGCAAGCGUUAUCCGGAAUCAUUGGGUUUAAAGGGUCCGUAGGUGGAUGAUUAAGUCAGGGGUGAAAGUCUGCGGCUCAACCGUAGAAUUGCCUUUGAUACUGGUCGUCUUGAGUCGUUAUGAAGUGGUUAGAAUGUGUAGUGUAGCGGUGAAAUGCAUAGAUAUUACAC